GUUAUAUGGUCAAGCGACUAAGCGUAUACGGUGGAUGCCUUGGCAGUCAGAGGCGAUGAAGGACGUGGCAGCCUGCGAAAAGUGUCGGGGAGCUGGCAACAAGCUUUGAUCCGGCAAUGUCCGAAUGGGGAAACCCACCGCGCAAGCGGUAUCGUAAGGUGAAUACAUAGCCUUACGAAGCGAACCCGGGGAACUGAAAUAUCUAAGUACCCGGAGGAAAAGAAAUCAACCGAGAUUCCGUCAGUAGCGACGAGCGAACGCGGACUAGCCCAAAAGUGUCGUACAUUUUAGUCGAACAGCGUGGAAAAGCUGGCCGUAGACGGUGAUAGCCCGGUAGACGAAAGGGUGCAUGGCAUGAAAUUGAGUAAGGCGGGGCACGUGAAACCCUGUCUGAACAUGGGGGGACCAUCCUCCAAGGCUAAAUACUCCUGACUGACCGAUAGCGAACUAGUACCGUGAGGGAAAGGCGAAAAGAACCCCGGAGAGGGGAGUGAAAUAGACCCUGAAACCGUAUACGUACAAGCAGUGGAAGCCCGCAAGGGUGACUGCGUACCUUUUGUAUAAUGGGUCAGCGACUUACUGUCAGUGGCAAGCUUAACCGUAUAGGGGAGGCGAAGGGAAACCGAGUCUGAAUAGGGCGAAUAGUCUCUGGCAGUAGACCCGAAACCGAGUGAUCUAUCCUUGACCAGGUUGAAGGUGCGGUAACACGCACUGGAGGACCGAACCCACAUCUGUUGCAAUAGAUGGGGAUGAGUUGAGGAUCGGAGUGAAAGGCUAAACAAACUCGGAGAUAGCUGGUUCUCCUCGAAAGCUAUUUAGGUAGCGCCUCGUGCGAACACUGUUGGGGGUAGAGCACUGUUAUGGCUAGGGGGUCAUUGAGACUUACCAAACCAUGGCAAACUCCGAAUACCAACACGUGAUACACGGGAGACACACGGCGGGUGCUAACGUCCGUCGUGAAAAGGGAAACAACCCAGACCCGCAGCUAAGGUCCCAAAGUCAUAGCUAAGUGGAAAACGAUGUGGAAAGGCAUAGACAGCCAGGAGGUUGGCUUAGAAGCAGCCACCCUUUAAAGAAAGCGUAAUAGCUCACUGGUCGAGUCGGUCUGCGCGGAAGAUUUAACGGGGCUAAGCUAUGCACCGAAGCUCGGGGUGUACAGAUUUUGAUCUGUACGCGGUAGAGGAGCGUUCCGUAGGCCUGUGAAGGUGGAUUGUAAAGUCUGCUGGAGGUAUCGGAAGUGCGAAUGCUGACAUGAGUAACGAUAAGGGGGGUGAAAAGCCUCCCCGCCGAAAGCCCAAGGUUUCCUCGCGCAACGUUCAUCGGCGCAGGGUGAGUCGGCCCCUAAGGCGAGGCAGAAAUGCGUAGUCGAUGGGAAGCAGGUUAAUAUUCCUGCACUUUUCUACAGUGCGAUGUGGGGACGGAGAAGGUUAGGUCUACCAGGCGUUGGUUGUCCUGGGGAAAGGCGGUAGGCAUGAUUCUUAGGCAAAUCCGGGAAUCUCUAUGCCGAGCACCGAGACGAGUCCUAUGAGGACGAAGUGACUGACACCACGCUUCCAGGAAAAGCCACUAAGCUUCAGCUGUAGAAAAACCGUACCGUAAACCGACACUGGUAGGCAGGGUGAGAAUCCCAAGGCGCUUGAGAGAACUCGGGUGAAGGAACUAGGCAAAAUGGCACCGUAACUUCGGGAGAAGGUGCGCCUCUUGGUGUGGUCACGUGCGUGACUGAGCAUCGAGGGGUCGCAGUAACCUGGCCGCUGCGACUGUUUAUCAAAAACACAGCACUCUGCAAACACGAAAGUGGACGUAUAGGGUGUGACGCCUGCCCGGUGCUGGAAGGUUAAUUGAUGGGGUCAGCCGCAAGGCGAAGCUCUUGAUCGAAGCCCCAGUAAACGGCGGCCGUAACUAUAACGGUCCUAAGGUAGCGAAAUUCCUUGUCGGGUAAGUUCCGACCUGCACGAAUGGCGUAACGACAGCGGCGCUGUCUCCACCCGAGACUCAGUGAAAUUGAAAUCGCUGUGAAGAUGCAGCGUUCCCGCGGCAAGACGGAAAGACCCCGUGAACCUUUACUAUAGCUUUACACUGAACGUUGAGUUCUUCUGUGUAGGAUAGGUGGGAGGCUAUGAAACCAGGACGCUAGUUCUGGUGGAGCCAUCCUUGAAAUACCACCCUGAAGUGCUUGACGUUCUAACCUAGGUCCGUAAUCCGGAUCGGGGACCGUGUAUGGUGGGUAGUUUGACUGGGGCGGUCUCCUCCCAAAGAGUAACGGAGGAGCACGAAGGUACGCUCAGCGCGGUCGGACAUCGCGCACUGUGUGCAAAGGCAUAAGCGUGCUUGACUGCGAGAUCGACGGAUCAAGCAGGUACGAAAGUAGGUCUUAGUGAUCCGGUGGUUCUGUAUGGAAGGGCCAUCGCUCAACGGAUAAAAGGUACUCCGGGGAUAACAGGCUGAUACCGCCCAAGAGUUCAUAUCGACGGCGGUGUUUGGCACCUCGAUGUCGGCUCAUCACAUCCUGGGGCUGUAGCCGGUCCCAAGGGUAUGGCUGUUCGCCAUUUAAAGUGGUACGCGAGCUGGGUUCAGAACGUCGUGAGACAGUUCGGUCCCUAUCUGUCGUGGGCGUUGGAGAUUUGAGAGGGGCUGCUCCUAGUACGAGAGGACCGGAGUGGACGUUCCGCUGGUGUUCGGGUUGUCAUGCCCAUGGCAUUGCCCGGUAGCUACGAACGGAAGCGAUAACCGCUGAAAGCAUCUAAGCGGGAAGCGCGCCUCAAGAUGAGAUCUCCCGAGAGCUAGACUCUCCUUAAGGCACCAUCAAGACUAGGUGGUUGAUAGGCACGGUGUGGAAGUGCAGCAAUGCAUUGAGCUUACGUGUACUAAUGAGCCGUGAGGCUUGACCAUAUAACCCCAAG
rnacentral:rRNA from 1 species